rnacentral:rRNA from 1 species
GUCUCAAUGCUGUGGAAAUCAAGUGAUCUAGUUUACA